rnacentral:rRNA from 1 species
ACGGCUCAGUAACACGUAGUCAACAUGCCCAGGGGACGUGGAUAACCUCGGGAAACUGAGGAUAAACCGCGAUAAGUCACUACUUCUGGAAUGGGUAAUGACUAAAAUCUACAUGGCCCCUGGAUUGGACUGCGGCCGAUCAGGCUGUUGGUGAGGUAAUGGCCCACCAAACCUGUAACCGGUACGGGCUCUGAGAGGAGGAGCCCGGAGAUGGGCACUGAGACAAGGGCCCAGGCCCUAUGGGGCGCAGCAGGCGCGAAACCUCUGCAAUAGGCGAAAGCCUGACAGGGUUACUCUGAGUGAUUUCCGUUAAGGAGAUCUUUUGGCACCUCUAAAAAUGGUGCAGAAUAAGGGGUGGGCAAGUCUGGUGUCAGCCGCCGCGGUAAUACCAGCACCCCGAGUGGUCGGGACGUUUAUUGGGCCUAAAGCAUCCGUAGCCGGUUCUACAAGUCUUCCGUUAAAUCCACCUGCUUAACAGAUGGGCUGCGGAAGAUACUAUGGAGCUAGGAGGCGGGAGAGGCAAGCGGUACUCGAUGGGUAGGGGUAAAAUCCGUUGAUCCAUUGAAGACCACCAGUGGCGAAGGCGGCUUGCCAGAACGCGCUCGACGGUGAGGGAUGAAAGCUGGGGGAGCAAACCGGAUUAGAUACCCGGGUAGUCCCAGCUGUAAACGAUGCAGACUCGGUGAUGAGUUGGCUUUUUGCCAACUCAGUGCCGCAGGGAAGCCGUUAAGUUUGCCGCCUGGGGAGUACGGUCGCAAGACUGAAACUUAAAGGAAUUGGCGGGGGAGCAC